rnacentral:rRNA from 1 species
GACGAACGCUGGCGGCGUGCCUAAUACAUGCAAGUAGGACGCACAGUUUAUACCGUAGCUUGCUACACCAUAGACUGUGAGUUGCGAACGGGUGAGUAACGCGUAGGUAACCUGCCUAUUAGAGGGGGAUAACUAUUGGAAACGAUAGCUAAUACCGCAUAACAGUAUGUAACACAUGUUAGAUGCUUGAAAGAUGCAAUUGCAUCGCUAGUAGAUGGACCUGCGUUGUAUUAGCUAGUAGGUAGGGUAAUGGCCUACCUAGGCGACGAUACAUAGCCGACCUGAGAGGGUGAUCGGCCACACUGGGACUGAGACACGGCCCAGACUCCUACGGGAGGCAGCAGUGAGGAAUAUUGGUCAAUGGGCGGAAGCCUGAACCAGCCAAGUAGCGUGCAGGAUGACGGCCCUACGGGUUGUAAACUGCUUUUAUGCGGGGAUAAAGUGAGGGACGCGUCCCUUUUUGCAGGUACCGCAUGAAUAAGGACCGGCUAAUUCCGUGCCAGCAGCCGCGGUAAUACGGAAGGUCCGGGCGUUAUCCGGAUUUAUUGGGUUUAAAGGGAGCGUAGGCCGGGGAUUAAGUGUGUUGUGAAAUGUAGGCGCCCAACGUCUGACUUGCAGCGCAUACUGGUUCCCUUGAGUACGCGCAACGCCGGCGGAAUUCGUCGUGUAGCGGUGAAAUGCUUAGAUAUGACGAAGAACCCCGAUUGCGAAGGCAGCCGGCGGGAGCGCAACUGACGCUGAAGCUCGAAGGUGCGGGUAUCGAACAGG